UCUGCACCCGUGGGUUUUUGGGAUGACUGGAUUUCCUGCAUCUCUGCCCUCAACACAAUCCUCUCUGGUGACUUCUUAUUCACAUCUGCACUGUCAAGGUCCCCCAGCCUCCAGGGUCUGCUGCUCUUAAAAGCCACUUGCUUGCCCAAGCCUCUGGGCAUUGCAGAAACUCUCUCUAACCCUGGACUGUCCGUCCUGCCUGUCUUCUCAGCCCGUCCUCUGGACCAGUUCAAAGUGUGCACGGUGGCAGAUUUUCUCUCUGCUCUAUGCAAGCCCACUCCUCCACACUCUCCCUUCCAGCCUGCUCCUGGGCUAUGUAAGCUUUCUGGAGUUCUCCCUGCUACUUCAGGGGUACUUCUCUUGGGGCUCGGGGGUGGGUGGUGGGUGGUGGCGGAGCUGCUCCAUUGUCCCCCGACAUGCGUCACAUAGUGAGAACCCAUAAACGUGUGUUGGAUUGAUCAGCACCCGGAAUACCAAUGCUUUCCUUCCCAACUUUUUGGCUGGCUGUUGGGUAGGGACUAAGGCUCAUUAGCUUCCUAACCCUUACCGUAGGGACUCCAAGACCAGUAAACAGCUUCCUGCCUGCCAGUACUGCGGUUGCCAUGGUUUCUCCCACCCCCUAGGACUACUAGGUGAAUGCUGAUUGACAAACCCGGGGCUGGCCAAGGCCUUUUCAGGAGGACUUGUGGGGGUUGGGGGUUGGUGCCCUAAAAGAAUGUCUUGCAACCCUUCAGCGGGCAGGGCUCAGUGGGAGAGCUGGGGCUUGACAGCCAAGAAUCUCUUUAAAGAUACUAACCAGGAGCAGAGACUCCAUCAUUCAUCAUCUUCUGAAACAUGAAGAAUGUUCUCGCUUAUCUCCUCGGGUACCACAAAAGGUCAGGAGGCAAACUCAUCCCCAGGAGAGAACCAAGUGUCCCCAUUUGCUCUGUGCCUUCACCGGAAAUUAGUACAGACCUCAACAUGGUGUGGUUAUUUGAAUGAAAGGUCUCCUUCCAGUCAGUCUCUCCUCCCAGAAAGGGGGCAGGGAGAGAGCUCUGGCUUAGUAGUUCCUCCUUCUAACCGGGAUUCCCUCCCUUAUACCAAGGGAUCUUUUUCCUCAAGAGGCCACCAUGAUGCUGUACCAGGCAGUAUCCACCCUACAUGGAAGAUGUGUACAACCUCAACUCCUGAGGAGCAGGUACAUAUAGCCAAGCUGUUCUGCCUAUGGCCACCAAGUUGACAAGGGGAAGGACCAGAGACUGUCAGGAGGUAGAGAUGUGGUGAAGGGUGCAGACAGCCUGCCUUUGUUGUCUCUUCAAAGACAUUCCAAGGUGUUGUUUACGUUUUGUUCUCAAAUAUUACAUCUCAGUGUACUGGCCUGGGGAGAAGCAACCUGCUAGGUGACUCAGAACCUACCCAGGGACAAUUUCUUUCCCAGUCCGAGUACUUAUGACUGUCUCCUGAUCCGUUAUCAAAAUUCCAUUGGUAUUUCUUGCCUUUGGAUCCUGUGACACCAAUUUAAACACUUUUAUCUUUACUACCUGUUUAUACCAACACUGAGUUUCAUUUGUUCUUUGUGCGAAGCUUCUUACGGUAGAAAUGUGGGUGAUCAACUUUAAGCUGUCUUCCGUCUUAGACACACACAUGUAAUUCUCUCUCUGUCUGCUUUGCUUAGAGCACAUCCUAAGAUUUUUAUCUUUAUGUUUUUACUUGAUAAAAACAUAUUUCCAUUUGAAAAUUGAAUCUCAGCUAGUCUGUAGACUCAGGCAAAGGAUUCCAAGACCAAGACCAGUCUGGGCAACACUGUGGAAUUUUGACUCAAAACAAAAUAAGAUAAAAAGAAAGUAUAUUAAAUUUCUCUUAUAAUUAAUUUUUAUUCAUAUGUUGUUGUUUAAUUCCCAAAUAUCUGGUAACUUCUAGAUACAUAAUUAUCAAAUUUGGUUCUAUAAACACCCAUAGUUUCCCUUCUUUAUAAUUUAUUGAGACUUGUUUUAUGAUUAAAGAUCUUUGAAGGUGACAGAUAGUGUCUGUGGGAGACAGUUAUGCAUAGAUAAGGUUAUGGGGAUGGGACUCGUGAUGUGCCACAAAUAUUAAUGAUAAGGUUUAGAUCUUCUAUGUCCUUAAUAAUUUUGUGAACAUUUUCUAUGAAUUCUGUUAGUCUAUAAAUACAAAGUUGUCAUUUUACCCUUUAGUAUUUUCAAUGUUUAUUCUUAUGUUUUACAACUCUGGUACGCAGUGAUUCCACAGUCAAUAUGGAUGUCUUCUUGAUGAAAUAAAUGGCCCUUUGCCCAUUUGCA